rnacentral:rRNA from 1 species
ACUUGGAUAUGGAUUCUUCACGGUAACGUAACUGAAUGUGGAGACGUCGGCACAAGCCCUGGGAGGAGUUCUNNNUUCUUCUUAACAGCUUAUCACCCUGGAAUUGGUUUAUCNGGAGAUAGGGUNUUAUGGCUGGAAGAGCGCAAUUUUAUGUNGCGUCCGGUGCGCNUGNNACGGCCCUUNAAAAUCCACAGGAAGGAAUAGUUUUCAUGCCAAGUNGUACU